rnacentral:tRNA from 1 species
ACUCAUAUGGCGGAAUGGUAGACGCGUGGGACUUAAAAUCUCAUCCUAUGGGUAUCGGUUCAAGUCCGAUUAUGAGUA